rnacentral:piRNA from 1 species
UCAGGUGAACGAACCACUCUCAGAAGUGC